GAGUCAGACACGACUGAAGCAACUUAGCAGAUAACAGGGGUAUAAAAAUUAUUAAGUUAUAAAUUUUAGGAUUAUAUAUAAAUCAUGAAUUAUUCAAAACCAUAGACUGUUGACAAUGAUUGAGCCCUGUAGAAUUUCUUAUAUUUUGCUUAGAGUAGUGGGUCCUGAAACUGAGUUAUGUCUGAAGGACUGUAAUAAGUUGGUGGGUGAGAAGCUUCUUGGUAUCUGUUUUAUUGAUUUGUGUUCACUGAUGAUAUCUUUAAGAAGGGAGUUUGGGUGAAAAUUCAAAGAAUCCAAGAGCAUCUAUGGAAUGGGGGUAAAGAUGUGAAAGAGAGAAAAACUCUUUUUCAGUCAAAUCCCAAGUGCUAGAGACCACAUCUAUGUGGAAGGAAGUUUCCAGAAGAAGCAAACAGAGCCAUUAAAAAAAAUUAAUUUGUGAUUUUACUUUCAGACUAGUGGAGAAAUGAGGCCUCAGAAGAAAGAAUGCAGACGGGGGUUUGGGUGUAUCCUAGCAACAGCUAUUUCAAUUAAAAAAGGAUGGGAAGGGCCACCAGUGUUGCCAAGGUUACCAGUAUUUCCUGCUGUCACCAGAGGAAGUUAACUUGUGCAUCAAUCAUAAGGGAAUCAGAUGCUCGGCACUUUGCUACUCUGCCUUUCUCCUCAAGAUAAUCUCUUUCUCAUUCAGAGAUAAUGAGGGUUCUCCACAUCAAAGUUUUACCAAGUUUCUCACAGUGUCAUGGGUGUUAUUAUUUAGUAAGAAAUUACUCUAUGGCCCAGAUGUUAAUAGAAAAGUUUGGGGAAACAUAAAAUACCAAUAAUAACACUAGAUUUUGACAUCAUUUAAGGGAGCAACAAUUCUAUUCAUUUGAUAUGCCCUCCUAUUUCCAAUAAGAUAACAGUUUUAAUUGCCAACAGAGCCAUACUGUAAUAAUGCCUCUAAAUCAGAUAUGUUUGAUUAUUUUUUGGGCGGGGGAGCAGUUUAAAACCAUUUUAUUGAGGGGCUUCAGUGGGCUGAGAGGACAAUGAGACCUGACAUCGUUCUCCCAGCUGGGAUCUCCCCAGCUUCACAGUUGCUGAAAGAUACUUUUGCUUUUAAAAAUAAAAUCACCAUAGUACUUUGUACGUACAUACCAUUAUUUAAGUGCUAUACUCAAUUUUUUAAAAUGACAAGAUUUAAAAACAUCUCUCCAAAUUACUCUUAACAUCAUAAAAAUUUAUUCAGCAGUAUCUUUUCUGCUCGUCAUAGUGUCCAAAGACGGUCUCAAAGGAGGCCGAGAGCACAGGCUCAGGGCCCAGGAGACCUAAG